GGGCCCGUAGCUCAGUGGUAGAGCGGUCGGCUCAUAACCGAUUGGUCCCAGGUUCGAACCCUGGCGGGCCCACCA
rnacentral:tRNA from 1 species